AGGAUUUCUAAAUAAGACAAUAAACAGGACUAUGAAUUUUUCAGUUUGCCGCUUUUCAAAUCUCCAUUUCUUGAAACAGAUCUGAACCUGGAGAAAUACUAGUGGAUGGGGAUUUUUGUCAGAAACAGGCAAAACAUGCAGUUAGCUACAAAUAUUUAAAGGGAUACUCUAAGCACCAAAACAACUAUAGCUUACCUAGCCACAUCUACCCUGACUGUGACUCACACAGGAUCUAAGAAAAAAAAGGUUUAUUAAAAAAGAUAUUACAGCAGUGUAUGUAAUUUACAAAUUCUUACCACAUGCUCUGCUGAUUUAAUUUUAACCACACUAGUGGGUGUUGCAGGUUUUAGUGGACAAAAACUUCUAAUGUAAAACACACUAUGCAAUAGGGGAAGCUUAAAAGGUUGCGCUCUUUUUCAGGAAAUGUGUAGGAAGGCUAUGUGAGUCACAACCAGGAGAGGUGUGGCUAGAGCUGCAUAAACAAAGUGAUUCAUCUUCUAAAUGGCAGAGAAUUGAGCAGUUAGACUGCAGGACACAAUCUAUCCACAAAAGUCACCUCUGCUAAAGUUAUUUUGGUGCUUAGUGACCCUUUAAUUUUGACGAUAAGUAAAAUCCCCUUAUGACAUAAACCGUAAGGCAGGAGGUUCUUGUGUUUCACUAAAUCUGUACUCCCUCAGAUGAUGUCAUGCAUAUAUCCCAAUGAGAUGAAUCCAGAAUCCCGUAGGAUAAUGGGUAAGACCAUAGCCAAUAUAAGCAGUGGUAAGUUUUGUAUUUGUGCUAUAAUUUUAAAAGUUGUUCCACGCCACCUAUGGCUAUUUCUUCCAAAUUUGCCACCCAAUAUUUAGAUAAAGUACUCAUAUGAAUGCACUGAUUGUUACCCUUAUUGUAUUAACAAGUAAUGGAACCCAGAAGGAUUAUGCAGAUUAAGGGAGAAAAGAUAUGUACAUAUUUCUAGACACAAAUGUAGUCAUAUUUAUUGUGCCUGCAUUUUGCAUCUAUGGAGAAUCAGUUGGAUCUAAAGUCAAGCACACAGGGCAGGAGCAAAGAUGUUGAAAGUUCUCCCCACCUCUGGGCUGUAAACGGGUUGUUCAUGUGGUCUCACUC